CCCAUUCCCUCUAUUUUUCAUCUUAGUGUGAACCAGAUGAAUCAGACUUAUCCUGUCGCUAGGAAUUUGCUUGAGAUUCUACACGAAGGGAGCAUAUAUGAGAUUGGUAGAUUGUGCUACGAAGAUUGAUCCUGAACAGCUUGUGGGAAGGAUUCAACAUUUAGCGAUAAGAGACGUAAUCCUGUCUGAUCAAAGGGAAGGUUGAAAGCUGCUGUUGGGAGCGGGCGGUUCAUCAGGAGUGAAGAUGAUGGUGGCAGUGGAGGAAAAGAAAUGGCAGGGGUGGCAGCUAUAAGGUAGAGGUUGUUUCUAAGUUGUUCGUCUUGGUGUUAGUUUUCCCCUAAUUCUAUCAUGUAUAUCUACUAUUUCUAAUUGGAGGGAUUAUGGUUGGUGAGCCUUUGAUGACAAGGGAAUUUUUUUAUCCUUUUUUCUCUUCUGGUUGUUCCUUUUCUGUAGGAAGAUGAUAAAUCUGGAAGCCAUUUUGCCGCUGAAAGAU